AUACGUAGGUGGCAAGCGUUGUCCGGAAUUACUGGGCGUAAAGGAUGCGUAGGCGGAUAUGUAAGUCAGACGUGAAAUACCGAGGCUUAACCUCGGGGCUGCGUUUGAAACUGUAGUUCUUGAGUGAAGUAGAGGCAGGCGGAAUUCCUAGUGUAGCGGUGAAAUGCGUAGAUAUUAGGAGGAACACCAGUGGCGAAGGCGGCCUGCUGGGCUUUAACUGACGCUGAUGCACGAAAGCAUGGGGAGC
rnacentral:rRNA from 1 species